UGGAAAAUAGAAAAAUAAAAUAUUAUGAUUCCCAUUCAUUGCUUUUUUUGUUACAUGAAAAAUGCAAACAAAAUAUUGUUAGAACUAUAUCACAGUGUGUGUGUGUGUGUGUGUGUGUGUGAGUGUGCCUGCGUGCACGUCCAU
rnacentral:sRNA from 1 species